AACGAACGCUGGCGGCAGGCCUAACACAUGCAAGUCGAGCGGACCUUUCGGGGUCAGCGGCGGACGGGUGAGUAACGCGUGGGAAUAUGCCCUUCUCUACGGAAUAGUCCUGGGAAACUGGGGGUAAUACUGUAUACGCCCUUUGGGGGAAAGAUUUAUCGGGGAAGGAUUAGCCCGCGUUGGAUUAGGUAGUUGGUGGGGUAAUGGCCUACCAAGCCGACGAUCCAUAGCUGGUUUGAGAGGAUGAUCAGCCACACUGGGACUGAGACACGGCCCAGACUCCUACGGGAGGCAGCAGUGGGGAAUCUUAGACAAUGGGGGCAACCCUGAUCUAGCCAUGCCGCGUGAGUGAUGAAGGCCUUAGGGUUGUAAAGCUCUUUCAGCUGGGAAGAUAAUGACGGUACCAGCAGAAGAAGCCCCGGCUAACUCCGUG
rnacentral:rRNA from 1 species